rnacentral:rRNA from 1 species
UACGGAGGAUGCGAGCGUUAUCCGGAUUUAUUGGGUUUAAAGGGUGCGUAGGCGGACUGUCAAGUCAGCGGUAAAAUUGAGAGGCUCAACCUCUUCCCGCCGUUGAAACUGGUGGUCUUGAGUGGAUGAGAAGUACGCGGAAUGCGUGGUGUAGCGGUGAAAUGCAUAGAUAUCACGCAGAACUCCGAUUGCGAAGGCAGCGUACCGGCAUCCAACUGUCGCUGAGGCACGAAAGCGUGGGGAUCAAACAGG